rnacentral:rRNA from 1 species
AGUGACAAGAAAUAACAAUACAGGACUUUUUGGUUUUGUAAUUGGAAUGAGUUAAGUAUAAACCCCUUUACAAGUAUCAAUUGGAGGGCAAGUCUGGUGCCAGCAGCCGCGGUAAUUCCAGCUCCAAUAGCGUAUAUUAAAGUUGUUGCAGUUAAAAAGCUCGUAGUUGGAUUUCUGUUAAUAAUUUAUAUAAAAUAUUUUGAUGAAUAUUUAUAUAAUAUUAACAUAAUUCAUAUUACUAUUUUUUUUUUAGUAUAUGAAAUUUUACUUUGAGAAAAUUAGAGUGCUUAAAGCAGG